rnacentral:rRNA from 1 species
UGUAAGCGUAUACCAAAGUUGUUGCAGUUAAAACGCUCGUAGUCGGAAUUUGGCAGUUCCGGAAGUGUGCACGUCGUGUGCGCACUUUGCGGGGACUGCUUUUGUGGUCUUGCGUAGGAUGAGGCACUUUCAUUAGUGAACGUCCGCACGCUGCCACUUUUUACUGUGAGAAAAUCAGAGUGCUCAAAGCAGGCAUUUGCCGUGAAUGUAUUAGCAUGGAAUAAUAGAAUAGGACUCGGUUCUAUUUUGUUGGUUUGUUGGGACUGAGUAAUGAUUAAGAGGGACAGUUGGGGGCAUUUGUAUUUCGGCGCUAGAGGUGAAAUUCUUAGAUUGCCGAAAGACAAACUGCUGCGAAAGCGUCUGCCAAGGAUGUUUUCAUUGA